rnacentral:rRNA from 1 species
GAACCGGACAAACGUUAUUCGGAAUUAUUGGGCUUAAAGGGUGCGUAGGCGGCGCGGUAAGUGAGGUGUGAAAGCCCACGACUCAAUCGUGGAACUGCGCUUCAUACUGCCGUGCUAGAGGGAGACAGAGGUAAGCGGAACUGAUGGUGGAGCGGUGAAAUGCGUUGAUAUUAUCAGGAACACCAGUGGCGAAAGCGGCUUACUGGGUCUCUUCUGACGCUGAGGCACGAAAGCUAGGGGUAGCGAACGGGAUUAGAUACCCCGGUAGUCCUAGCUGUAAACGAUGAGCACUUGGUUGGGGAUCCUCCCCAUAGGUUCCCGACCGUAGCGAAAGUGUUAAGUGCUCCGCCUGGGGAUAUGGUCGCAAGGCUG